AUACACCGGAAGGACCUGUAGAGGUCAUUUUCUUCAUCUCUUGGCUUCCGAGCAGACUUGGUCCUACCUUCCCAAAGAGGCUGCACCAGUUCUUCCAAAGUCCAGAAGAAUCGCAGAGGUCUAGAGGGAUGGACAGUGUAGCCUGUGAGCACGAUUCACAGAAUACAGAAACACUGCAGUGGAUUCCCAGAGGCACCAGAAGAACAAGCCUAGAAAGUCUGCCUUACCUUGGUAUCAGGAUAUGAUGAUCUAUGGAAAGCGUCCUGCUAUGACCCCCUGUGGGCUCCUAGGAUCUUCUGUGUGACCUCGAGCAGGUUGCUCAAUCUCUCUAGGCCCUGGUUCUCAGGCUGCAGCACCAACAGGAAAACUAAUCAUCCUCAUUCGGUGUUUCUAGAACAUUGUGAACAUUAAUGAAAU